rnacentral:rRNA from 1 species
GUGAGGAAUAUUGGUCAAUGGGCGCAAGCCUGAACCAGCCAUCCCGCGUGCAGGAAGACAGCGCUAUGCGUUGUAAACUGCUUUUCUGAAGGAAGAAUAACCGCUACGUGUAGCGGGACGACGGUACUUCAGGAAUAAGCAUCGGCUAACUCCGUGCCAGCAGCCGCGGUAAUACGGAGGAUGCAAGCGUUAUCCGGAUUCAUUGGGUUUAAAGGGUGCGCAGGCGGACUUAUAAGUCAGUGGUGAAAUCUCCCGGCUCAACCGGGAAACUGCCAUUGAUACUGUAAGUCUUGAGUUCGGUUGAGGUAGGCGGAAUGUGUAAUGUAGCGGUGAAAUGCUUAGAUAUUACACAGAACACCAAUUGCGUAGGCAGCUUACUGGACCGACACUGACGCUGAGGCACGAAAGCGUGGGGAGCAAACAGGAUUAGAAACCCUAGUAGUCC